rnacentral:rRNA from 1 species
CCUACGGGAGGCAGCAGUGAGGAAUAUUGGUCAAUGGCCGGAAGGCUGAACCAGCCAUGCCGCGUGAAGGUCAGUGCCCUAUGGGCGUUAAACUUCUUUUGUGCGGGAGCAAUAAUGGUCACGUGUGGCCAGACGAGAGUACCGUACGAAUAAGCAUCGGCUAACUCCGUGCCAGCAGCCGCGGUAAUACGGGGGAUGCAAGCGUUAUCCGGAUUUAUUGGGUUUAAAGGGUGCGUAGGCUGUGAGGUAAGGCAGCGGUGAAAUGCCCCCGCUCAACGGGGUGAAGUGCCAUUGAUACUGCCUGGCUGGAAUGCGGAUGCGGUGGGAGGAAUGUGUGGUGUAGCGGUGAAAUGCAUAGAUAUCACACAGAACACCGAUUGCGAAGGCAUCUCACGAAUCCGCGAUUGACGCUGAUGCACGAAAGCGUGGGUAUCAAACAGGAUUAGAUACCCGGGUAGUC